rnacentral:snRNA from 1 species
GUUCUUGCUUCGGCAGCACGUAUACUAAAAUUGGAACAAUACAGAGAUUAGCAUGGCCCCUGUGCAAGGAUGACAUGCAAAUUUGUGAAGCAUUCUCUCUGUGU